rnacentral:rRNA from 1 species
GACGAACGCUGGCGGCGUGCUUAACACAUGCAAGUCGAACGGAAAGGCCCUGCUUUUGUGGGGUGCUCGAGUGGCGAACGGGUGAGUAACACGUGAGUAACCUGCCCUUGACUUUGGGAUAACUUCAGGAAACUGGGGCUAAUACCGGAUAGGAGCCCCUGCUGCAUGGUGGGGGUUGGAAAGUUUCGGCGGUUGGGGAUGGACUCGCGGCUUAUCAGCUUGUUGGUGGGGUAGUGGCUUACCAAGGCUUUGACGGGUAGCCGGCCUGAGAGGGUGACCGGCCACAAUGGUACUGAGAUACGGCCCAGACUCCUACAGGAGGCAGCAGUGGGGAAUAUUGCACAAUGGGCGGGAGCCUGAUGCAGCAACGCCGCGUGCGGGAUGACGGCCUUCGGGUUGUAAACCGCUUUCGCCUGUGACGAAGCGUGAGUGACGGUAAUGGGUAAAGAAGCACCGGCUAACUACGUG